rnacentral:rRNA from 1 species
AUCACGUAAGUGAGUAAGAACCCUGAAAGAUGAUCAGGUUGAUAGGUCUGAGGUGGAAGCGCGGUGACGUGUGGAGCUGACAGAUACUAAUCGUUCGAGGACUUAACCACA